rnacentral:misc_RNA from 1 species
AAGUCGUAACAAGGUUUCCGUAGGUGAACCUGCGGAAGGAUCAUUAUCGAGUUUUGAACGGGUUGUCUGCUGGCUCGCAAGGGCAUGUGCACGCCUGUCUCAUCCACUCUCAACUUCUGUGCACUUUUCAUAGGCCGGCUUGUGGGUGCGUUCGCGCACUUGUAGGUGUCGGGCUUAUGCUUUACUACAAACGAUUCAGUUUUAGAAUGUCAUACUUUGCUAUAACGCAAUUUAUAUACAACUUUCAGCAACGGAUCUCUUGGCUCUC